rnacentral:rRNA from 1 species
GACGAACGCUGGCGGCGUGCUUAACACAUGCAAGUCGAGCGGAGCGGCGAACGGGUGAGUAACGCGUGAGUAACUGCCCCCCUCCCUGGGAUAACAGUUGGAAACGGCUGCUAAUACCGGAUAGUGGGGGAUGACUCGCGUCCUAUCGGCUUGUUGGUGGGGUAGUGGCACACCACGCCGACGCCGGGUAGCCGGCCUGGGAGGGGGACCGGCCACAUUGGGCUGAGAUACGGCCCAAACUCCUACGGGGGGCAGCAGUGGGGAGUAUUGCACAAUGGGGUAAACUCUGAUGCAGCAGCGCCGCGUGCGGGAUGACGGCCUUCGGGUGGUAAACCGCUUUCAGCCAUGACGCGGUAGUGGCAGAAGAAGCACCGGCUAACUACGUGCCAGCAGCCGCGGUAAUUC